rnacentral:rRNA from 1 species
UACGUAGGGUGCGAGCGUUAAUCGGAAUUACUGGGCGUAAAGCGUGCGCAGGCGGUGAUGUAAGACAGAUGUGAAAUCCCCGGGCUCAACCUGGGACCUGCAUUUGUGACUGCAUCGCUGGAGUGCGGCAGAGGGGGAUGGAAUUCCGCGUGUAGCAGUGAAAUGCGUAGAUAUGCGGAGGAACACCGAUGGCGAAGGCAGCCCCCUGGGCUAGCACUGACGCUCAGGCACGAAAGCGUGGGGAGCAAACAGG